UAACUGUUUUCUUCAGUAUAAGCUUUAUGAAUUAGUUAGCAGGUGAUUAGCUUUGGGCGGGGGAGGGGGGAGAGUUAUCUUUGUCCCUGUACAUCAACUGCCUUAGGAUGAAAGGCAACCUGAAGAGUCAGAAACAGAUCCUAUCAAUAGUACAAAUGGAUUCAGAGCAGAGACAACUUUAGAUGUGCCAUUUGAAAGCCAGUCAAAAUGAUUCUCAAUCUCAGUUGACAAAAUCAGAAAAAGGAACCUCUGUAAACAUCACGUUUUCCACAGCAAGCAAGACAGAGCCCAGGCGACUUUGUCAUGUAAUUGAAAUAAUACAUCACUUGGGCAAAAACUUCAAUGAUAUCCUUCUGUUAGAUGCACUGUGUGACUUCAAGUCUAUAAUUUUAUCCAAUUCUGAAAAAUUGAGAUUGAAUAUCAUUUAAGGGCAAUGUAGAGAUUCAUGGGGUUCAAUUAUAUAGAGCAUGCAGAGCUUCCAAAAGGAAAACUUGGGACUGAAAACUCCAGAGACUUUUUUUU